rnacentral:misc_RNA from 1 species
GAUGAAGAACGCAGCGAAAUGCGAUAAGUAAUGUGAAUUGCAGAAUUCAGUGAAUCAUCGAAUCUUUGAACGCACAUUGCGCCCGCUGGUAUUCCGGCGGGCAUGCCUGUUCGAGCGUCAUUUCAACCCUCAAGCUCUCCGGAGUUUGGUGUUGGGGCGCCUGGGGCUUUUCGACCUCAGGGACCUCAAGUCCAUCGGCGGGACCGCCAGGACACUGAGCGCAGUAGUAUUAUUUCGCUCGGUAGGAUCUUCCACGGCGGGUCGAUCUGGCCGCUAAACCCCCCAAUUCUCACCAAAGGUUGACCUCGGAUCAGGUAGGAAUACCCGCUGAACUUAAGCAUAUCAAUAAGCGGAGGA